GUGCGCCUGCCCUCUCGGUGUCGGAGAGACGCCCUUCCACCUCUGGGAGCCUCGGUCUGUUGGGGUCGCGGAGUUCGGGCGCGGCUCCGGGUACCCGAGACCAGCGGCGGCAACUUCUAACACGGGAGAUUUCCCGCCACCCCACCCCGCCGCCGCGAGUCCUCGCGGGGCGUGUUGCGUGCGGAGAAUCGACGGGAUUUCUCUGGCUGUCGUUUGCGCUGCAUUUAUCCGAAUACAUCCAGCUCGCAGGCAUCCUGCAAGAAACGGCUCCCGGCUCGCGUGUACGCCGACACCUCGGCCCAACGCAGGACUCGAGGUGGUUUCUAGUGCCCGGGUGGCUGCAAGUCUGCCCUCCGAGGGAGGCUGGACAAGCGGCGCCCCCAGGUCGAGCGGCCUCUCGCUGCCUGGCAGUGCCUGGCAGCCCCCACCUCUGCCAGUGCUUCGGAAACCCGCCUGGCCAGGUUCGCCCGCGGUGAAAAAUGAAAGCAAAUUCCCCAACAGAGGUAGCCGGAACUUUCCUCGACGAAGGCUCCCUCCUGCGCCUGUGUCUGGAGAACCCCCAGAGCGCUGCAAGUUAGCAAGAGAGAUUCGAUGGCGGCUCUGGAAGGCGCACGAAGGGUGGGGCGG
rnacentral:lncRNA from 1 species